UACGUAGGGGGCAAGCGUUGUUCGGAAUUACUGGGCGUAAAGGGCGCGUAGGCGGCUUUGCAAGUGGCGGGUGAAAUCCCUCGGCUUAACCGAGGAACUGCCUGCCAGACUGCAUGGCUUGAGACCGGGAGAGGUGAGUGGAAUUCCCAGUGUAGCGGUGAAAUGCGUAGAUAUUGGGAGGAACACCAGUGGCGAAGGCGGCUCACUGGACCGGUACUGACACUGAGGCGCGAAAGCGUGGGGAGCGAACAGG
rnacentral:rRNA from 1 species